GUGUCUUUGCGUACUUCCUGUGACAAGAGUAUGAAAGCAACUCACAGGUCGACAUACAGGUUGCCGUACAUUCAGAGGUCUUGGUUGUUAAGAGAGCUGUUGAAAGUCCUAAUAGUGAUGAGGAGGCUGCUGGAUAGAAACGUAAGGAAGAUCCUUGAACUGUACCUUAGGAUUCUCUCUUGUGCGUUCUCCACACGGAGACAGACGCCUGCCACAACAACAGACUGCGCAUCAUGCUGAAUGAAAGUUGGUUACUUGAUAUGAUAAAGUUCUUAAUCACACCUUUGAUGUGCAUAGCACUGUACCUGCUGUGUUGCCGUAGAAAAUGGCUGUGCACUCAGGAAGAAGAGUCAGAUGACUCCUCUGUCUAUGUCAUCCCUAUGCAUGAAGAAGAGAGGACAGAAGGUCGAAGAGAGGAGGCAAGUCCCCCCAGUAGACCUCCUCGGCCCUCAAGGGCCCCAACCCCUCCACCGUUACCCACGACUGUCUACAGACCUCCCUAUAGAGAACUGCCGCCGUAUAGCUCAGUGGAUCUCAUCAACCCUGCACCGCCAUACACUCCGUUUGACCCAAAGGACCCAGAGGACGUUCCACCUUCCUACCGAGCGGUGAUAGAGGACAUACCACCCAUCUACUCAGCAGUGGUGGUGUCAGAUGACCUUCCAUCUGUCUGGUAUCAGCCACUGCCCCCAGUCUCACCCCCCUUACUCCCAAGUCCAGGUUACGCCCAACUCCCGUUACCAAGACCCUAACAUGGACGCGACUUGCACAAUUGAGAAUUCCAUGGUCCCAGAUUUGUUUGUGCUGCCUAUAGGUGUUGGCAAGACAGCACAAACAGAUCUGGGACCAGGCUAUGUCUGCUAUUCCCUUGCACCUCCAUGGGGUUCAUAUAGAGCUCUGAACAUGCAUAUUCAGGCCGUCCAAAGAACAAUGCUGAUUAAUAUACGUUUUUGAGGAAACUUUGGAUUUAUGUGAUACAGGUAGGGCCUAGAGUUGUUCCCGGUUGGUGAAAACUCAGGGCCUGAAAUACUGUAUAGUGGUACAUCUUAUUUAAAUUGAACACUUUCGUCACUGACGUGACAUUGUACUGUAAAGUAUCUGGUUCGGCUUGUGUAGAGGACUGGGCCAUCAUGGAGUCAUUGUCCAUUUCGUCAACAAAAAUAGUGACUAAAAUAAUCACCCAGGUGACUCUCUUGCUUCACCUUAACCAGUCAACACCACCAGCCUUCUUGUUAGCUAGAAUACUCUUUGCUGGUUAAGAAAUACAAGCUGCUUUACCAAAUGAAAAACAAUAACAGCAUUGUGUUUAAUAGUAAAACAACAGUCUAGCUAUGUUUUUCUCUUCCUUGAGUAGGCUAUAGAAAAGUAGGCCGUCUUUUAAAUGUGUAGUCUCGUUCAACCCUCCCACUUCUCCCACUGCAUUUCAUAUACAGGUUCUAUUGUCAAGUGUCCAUCUUUUCCUCAGAGAAAACGGCUUGAUUUAAGCCCUUAAGUUACCAUUUAAAAGACAUGACCCAUAAUACCAGCGCUAUGUUUUUUAAAUUUAGAUUGUGCAUUGGCGGGCAGCAUUUUACAUUCAUAAAGCAUAUCACAGGCCGUUCUUAAACUAGGUUACUUGCGGACCGGACUGUUAUUUGUUCAGGCUACACCUUGUUCAGUUAUGUUAUCUCAUUGGCUAGCUAAAGCUAGCAACCUGGGGGAAUGUUCAGCAGGACGCAACAUUUUGAAACGUUCAGAUAUAAAUAUGCUCUGUAGAACAAACAUGCCUCUCUGACAUGUUGAAUAAGAAAUAACGUAGCCUCUAUUCUUGGAAUUUCUAUCUGCAAUGUUCAAGAACAUUUUUCAACUGAAUGUGGCCCUGGUAACAUUAUUGGUAGCCUACAGUGACUGGAAAGUAUUCAGACCCCUUGACUUUCUCCAAAUGUUGUUACUUUACAGCCUUAUUCUAAAAUGGAUUAAAUAAAAAUUAUCCUCAGCAAUCUACAAACAAAACCCUAUAAUGACAAAGUGAAAACAGGUUUUUAGAAUUUUUGGCAAAUUUAUUUUAAAAAACACAUUUACAUAAGUAUUCAGCAACGAAAUUGAGGUCAGGUGCAUCCUGUUUUCAUUGAUCAUCCUUGAGGUGUUUCUACAACUUGAUUGGAGUCCACCUGUGGUAAAUUCAAUUGAUUGGACAUGAUUUGGAAAGGCACACACACCCGUCUAUAUAAGGUCCCAAAGUUGACAGUGCAUGUCAGAGCAAAAACCAAGCCAUGAGGUCGAAGGAAUUGUCCGUAGAGAAAAGUACAGAGAGAUCCUUGAUGAAAACCUGCUCCAGAGCGAUCAGCCUGGGGCGAAGGUUCACCUUCCAACAGGACAACGACCUUAAUCACACAGCAAGACAAGACAAUGCAAGAGUUGCUUCGGGACAAGUCUCUGAAUGUCCUUGAGUGGCCCAGCCAGAGCCUGGACUUGAACCAGAUCUAACAUCUCUGGAUAGACCUGAAAACAGCUGUGCAGCAACGCUCCCCAUCCAACCUGACAGACCUUGAAAGAAUCUGCAGAGAAGAAAGUAAGAAGCUCCCCAAAUACAGGUGUGCCAAGCUUGUAGCAUCCUACCCAGCAGACUUGAGCCUGUAAUCGCUGCCAAAGUUGCUUCAACAAAGUACUUAGUAAAGGGUCUGUGAUAUUUCUUUUAUAUACAUUUGCUACAAAUUCUAAAAACGUGUUUUUGUUUUGUCAUUAUGGGGUAUUGUGUGUAUGUUGAUGAAGGAAAACACUUUUUAAAAUCAAUUUUAGAACAAUUUUUGAAUAAUAAACAUAACAAAUUGUGGGAAAAGUCUGUCAUUUUGUGGCACAGAGAGAAAACAAAAGGGAUUGUAAACAAUUUAUUGAAAUUCUUCUUGCCACUACACAAAGUCUGACUGGGUAAAUAACUAUAUUUUGAGUUAAUGUGGACCCGGUGACUCAGACUUGAGCACUUGGACCAGGACUCAAGCACUGGUACUCUGACUUCAGCCACUUACUUGUGACUUGGACUCGAGCACAGGGGACUUGGGACUUGAUUCGGACUUGAGGUUCAGUGACUCAAAUACAUCACUGGGUGAAAUAGUUAUUAGCUCCUUUUCAAAAUCAUUAGCCCCUGUUCUACUUUUGGAGAUCAAUGUGGCGUCUGUGAAACAUUCAUAACAAUGGCAAUGACGCGACCGAAUGAUGGCGGUGCAAUCCAUACUACUUUGCGGCACCAUCGGGUGAUUAAGUCUUUCUCUCAUGUCUGUUUGUUUUGUAUGUAAUGUGCAAUAUCUAUGUAGGCUGAAUUAGGAAUUUGCAUGGUCAGAGAAUUCGAAUACAAUUUUAUUCUUAUUUACAGUACCAGUCAAAAGUUGGGACACACCUACUCAUUCGAGGAUUUUUCUAUAUUUUUACUACAUUGUAGAAUAAUAGGGAAGAAAUCAAAAUGAUGAAAUAACACAUAUGGAAUUAUGUAGUAACCAAAAAAGUGUUAAACAAAUCAAAAUAUAUGUUAUAUUUGCGAUUCUUCAAAGUAGCCACCCUUUUCCUUUAUGACACCUUUAUGACACCUUGCCCCGCAUUUUCUCAACCAGCUUCAUGAGGAAUGCUUUUCCAACAGUUUUGAAGGAGUUCCCACAUAUGCUGAGCACUUGGUAGCGAAUUUUCCAUCACUCUAUACGGUCCAACUCAUUCCAAACCAUCUCAAUUGGGUUGAGGUCAGAUGAUUGUGGAGGCAAGGUCAUCUGAUGUAGCACUCCAUCACACUCCUUCUUGGUCAAAUAGCCCUUACACAGCCUGGGGGUUUGUUUUGUGUCAUUGUCCUGUUGAAAAACAAUUGAUAGUCCCGCUGAGCGCAAACCAAAUUGGAUGGCGUAAUGCUGCAGAAUUCUGUGGUUGCCAUGCUGGCUAAGUGUGCCUUGAAUUCUAAAUAAUCAGCGACAGUGUCACCAGCAAAGCACCAUCACACCUCCCCCUCCAUACUUCACGGUGGGAACCACACAUGCAGAGAUUAUCCGUUCACAAAGACACAGUGGUUGGAACCAAAAAGAUACAUUUGGACUCAUCAGACCAGAGGACUGAUUUCCACCGGUCUAAUAUCCAUUGCUCAUGUUUCUUGGCCAAAGCAAGUCUCUUCUUGUGUCCUUUAGUAGUGGUUUCUUUGCAGCAAUUUGACCGUGAAGGCCUGAUUCACACAGCCUCAACAGUUGAUUUUGAGAUAUGUCUGUUACUUGAACUCUGUGAAGCAUUUAUUUGGCCUGCAAUCUGAGGUGCAGUUAACUCUAAUGAACUGUAACUCUGGGUCUUUCUUUCCUGUGGCGGUCCUCAUGAGAGCUAGUUUCAUCAUAGCGCUUGAUGGGUUUUGCGACUGCACUUGAAGAAACUUUCUUGAAGAAAGUUCUUGAAAUGUUCCGGAUUGACUGACCUUCAUGUCUUAAAGUAAUGAUGGACUGUCAUUUCUCUUUGCUUAUUUGAGCUGUUCUUUACAUAAUAUGGACUUGGUCUUUUACCAUAUAGGGCUAUCUUCUGGAUACCAUCCCUACCUUGUCACAACACAAUUGACCUACCUUGUCAAUUCCACAAAUUAACUUUUAUCAAGGCACACCUGUUAAUUGAAAUGUGUUCCAGGUGACUGCCUCAUGAAGCUGGUUGAGAGAAUGCCAAGUGUGUGCAAAGCUGUCAUCAAGACAAAGGGUGGCUACUUUCAAGAAUCCCAAAUAUAAAUAUCAUUUGUUUAACACUUUUUUGGUUACGACAUGAUUUAUUUCAUAGUUUUGAUGUCUUCACUAUUAUUCACAAUGUAGAAAAUAGUUUAAAAAAUAAAUAAAACCCCUGGAAUGAGAAGGUGUGUCCAAACUUUGACUGGUACUGUAUGUUUGUCAAAUUUUCUUCUGUUGGGAAGACAAUAGGAUGUUAUGCAGAAAAAUAUGUCGAUAGGACCAUGUUUUGUACUAUAUGUUUGUCCACAUGGAAAUCAGUGAUUUGUGUUUACUAUAGGUUGAGGCAAAUGUGAAGUGACUAAAAUGAAAGGGCAUUUAGUUGACAAAAAUGACCCAGUGUUUUUGUACAUUUUGACAACAAUUAGACUAAAUUAGAUAUUCAAAUGACAAAAAUGUGACUAAGACAUAAUGAUAUUUUAGUCAAAAUUACUAAGACUAGACCAAAUAAAUAAAAAAAGAGUGCCAAAAUGAACACUGUAUGGAUGAUUUUCUCUUUAUCUUUUGGAAAGAGUUUCUUGUGAAGAAGGUAUAACACUGAAAAAAUGCACCUUUGUAUUUGUCAUAUUUUGACAAAUAUUUCUGAUAUAAAUGACAUUGUUUACAUUAAUGUACAUUAUUUUGAUUUAUAUGUCAUUUCUAUUCAAGAUGAGAGA